GAGUUUCAUGUUGCCCUGCUGAUUUAGUUUAGAUAAAUGUUUAUUCAAAAGAAGAUACUGAUUUGCUUUCUUUCAUUGUUUGAGGAAUAACUUAUAACAUGGGCUUGGAUACUUGUGAUAAGUUUCACAUAUCGAUUUGAUGAGUCUAAACUUGAUUAUACGGUGACUUAAGACAACUUUGUUCUCUGAUCCAACACCCAACCUAGAAAAAGCACGAUCCCUUAGUAUCUUUAAAGUAAACAUGUUCCCUAGCGACAGUCACAUCUCACAACUUCAAUAGAAUGCAAGCAUUAGCCACCCGACCUCCCCACAAAUUAAAAGAUUAUAUAGUAAUCGCGUUGUAUUACAAGUCUCUAUGAGUAAGCCCUAUGCUGAGGCCAAAGAUGUGAUAUUCAAUUCAUUGCCUCCUAAUUCGUUAUUAUAUUUUUCUCAUAUUUGGCCAAUAUCUUUU
rnacentral:lncRNA from 1 species